rnacentral:rRNA from 1 species
GUGGGGAAUCUUAGACAAUGGGGGAAACCCUGAUCUAGCCAUGCCGCGUGAGCGAUGAAGGCCUUAGGGUUGUAAAGCUCUUUCAGAGGGGAAGAUAAUGACAGUACCCUCAGAAGAAGCCCCGGCUAACUCCGUGCCAGCAGCCGCGGUAAUACGGAGGGGGCUAGCGUUGUUCGGAAUUACUGGGCGUAAAGCGCACGUAGGCGGACCAGAAAGUCAGGGGUGAAAUCCCGGGGCUCAACCCCGGAACUGCCUUUGAAACUCCUGGUCUUGAGGUCGAGAGAGGUGAGUGGAAUUCCGAGUGUAGAGGUGAAAUUCGUAGAUAUUCGGAGGAACACCAGUGGCGAAGGCGGCUCACUGGCUCGAUACUGACGCUGAGGUGCGAAAGCGUGGGGAGCAAACAGGAUUAGAAACCCCAGUAGUCC